rnacentral:rRNA from 2 species
GCUGACGAGUGGCGGACGGGUGAGUAAUGUCUGGGAAACUGCCUGAUGGAGGGGGAUAACUACUGGAAACGGUAGCUAAUACCGCAUAAUGUCGCAAGACCAAAGAGGGGGACCUUCGGGCCUCUUGCCAUCGGAUGUGCCCAGAUGGGAUUAGCUAGUAGGUGGGGUAACGGCUCACCUAGGCGACGAUCCCUAGCUGGUCUGAGAGGAUGACCAG